rnacentral:ncRNA from 1 species
UAGUACCUUCAGGGCAGGGUGCAAUUCCCGACCGGCGGUAAAGUCCGCAAGCGGCUAAAGCUGCAGAACUGGUGCAAUUCCAGUACCGACAGUAUAGUCUGGAUGGAAGAAGGUGAAG